AAAAAGCUUUAAAGAAGCGUGGGAUUUUUAAUCCUUUGAUAUCAAUAGAUUUUAAUUAAUUG
rnacentral:tRNA from 1 species